UCCCUCUCAGGGUUCUACCUGGAGAGUUUCCAGUACUCUAUCAGUCUCAACUAUGGGAGGGAGAGUCAAGUAGAGGCCUACCCAUUCCAUUCCUAGCUUGGACAGUGGCUAGAGAGUGGAAGACAAUCUGCUACAAGU